GACGAACGCUGGCGGCGUGCUUAACACAUGCAAGUCGAACGGAGAGGCCUCUUUCGGGGGGUACUCGAGUGGCGAACGGGUGAGUAACACGUGAGUAACCUGCCCUUGACUUUGGGAUAACUUCGGGAAACUGGGGCUAAUACCGGAUAGGAGCUCCUGCUGCAUGGUGGGGGUUGGAAAGUUUCGGCGGUUGGGGAUGGACUCGCGGCUUAUCAGCUUGUUGGUGGGGUAGUGGCUUACCAAGGCUUUGACGGGUAGCCGGCCUGAGAGGGUGACCGGCCACAUUGGGACUGAGAUACGGCCCAGACUCCUACGGGAGGCAGCAGUGGGGAAUAUUGCACAAUGGGUGGAAGCCUGAUGCAGCAACGCCGUGUGCGGGAUGACGGCCUUCGGGUUGUAAACCGCUUUCGCUCAUGACGAAGCUUUGUGUGACGGUAGUGGGUAAAGAAGCACCGGCUAACUACGUG
rnacentral:rRNA from 1 species